rnacentral:rRNA from 1 species
GGCGGAAUGAAAGUGAAGAAAGCUUUGCUUUUUGAGGGAAGAUAGUCAUGUGGCUUUAUAAAAAAGGCAGUGACUCGCACUCCCGGGGCGUCUCUAUCUCAUUGCGAGUGGAGGCGCACCAAGAGCGUACACGUUAGGACCCGAAAGAUGGUGAACUAUGCCUGGUCAGGACGAAGCCAGGGGAAACCCUGGUGGAGGUCCGUAGCGAUUCUGACGUGCAAAUCGAUCGUCAGAGCUGGGUAUAGGGGCGAAAGACUAAUCGAACCAUCUAGUAGCUGGUUCCCUCCGAAGUUUCCCUCAGGAUAGCUGGUGCCCAAGUGAGACGAGUCUCAUCUGGUAAAGCGAAUGAUUAGAGGCAUUGGGGCCGAAACGACCUCAACCUAUUCUCA